AUUGAACGCUGGCGGCAGGCUUAACACAUGCAAGUCGAACGGUAACGGGAAGGAAGCUUGCUUCCUUUGCUGACGAGUGGCGGACGGGUGAGUAAUGCUUGGGAAUCUGUUUUAUGGAGGGGGAUAACUACGGGAAACUGUAGCUAAUACCGCGUAAUAUCGAGAGAUUAAAGUGUGGGACCGCAAGGCCACAUGCCAUGAAGUGAGCCCAAGUGGGAUUAGGUAGUUGGUGGGGUAAAGGCCUACCAAGCCGUCGAUCUCUAGCUGGUCUGAGAGGAUGACCAGCCACACUGGGACUGAGACACGGCCCAGACUCCUACGGGAGGCAGCAGUGGGGAAUAUUGCACAAUGGGCGCAAGCCUGAUGCAGCCAUGCCGCGUGAAUGAAGAAGGCCUUCGGGUUGUAAAGUUCUUUCGGUGGUGAGGAAGGUUGGCGUGUUAAUAGCACGUUGAUUUGACGUUAGCCACAGAAGAAGCACCGGCUAACUCCGUGCCAGCAGCCGCGGUAAUACGGAGGGUGCGAGCGUUAAUCGGAAUAACUGGGCGUAAAGGGCACGCAGGCGGAUACUUAAGUGAGGUGUGAAAGCCCUGGGCUUAACCUAGGAAUUGCAUUUCAUACUGGGUAUCUAGAGUAUUUUAGGGAGGGGUAGAAUUCCACGUGUAGCGGUGAAAUGCGUAGAGAUGUGGAGGAAUACCGAAGGCGAAGGCAGCCCCUUGGGGGAAUACUGACGCUCAUGUGCGAAAGCGUGGGGAGCAAACAGG
rnacentral:rRNA from 1 species